UUGAAUUGCUCUUUGUGGGAGAUUUUUCUGACUUAAGGCUGAACAGACAUUCUGAUCUGCUGUUUAGCUUUUCCUUGAAGACUGACAUGUCAUCUUUCUCAGGGGUUUCCUUGGAAACGAGCUGAGCAGUUUAUUUCAGGCUCCAGAUCUGCAGCUGCCUCUAAUGCAAAGUACCUACUGAGAACCAGCAAUAAAAAUUGUUUGGGAAGCAGAGAUUUCCUAUAGGAAGGACCGAGUGGUGAUUGUUCAUCUGACGAUGAACUGGAUAAAUAAAAUGAAUAAAGUA